rnacentral:rRNA from 1 species
UACGUAGGGUGCGAGCGUUGUCCGGAAUUAUUGGGCGUAAAGAGCUUGUAGGUGGUUUGUCGCGUCUGCUGUGAAAAUCCGAGGCUCAACCUCGGACUUGCAGUGGGUACGGGCAGACUAGAGUGUGGUAGGGGAGACUGGAAUUCCUGGGUGUAGCGGUGGAAUGCGCAGAUAUCAGGAGGAACACCGAUGGCGAAGGCAGGUCUCUGGGCCAUUACUGACACUGAGAAGCGAAAGCAUGGGGAGCGAACGG